UCUACAGCAGAAGACGCUGUAGAAUUACUUCCAAGAAAAGCUACUGGAAGAAAGGAUUAUUCAAUUGCAAGCCAAAUCAAUAAUUAAUACUUUUUUUCAUAUUGAUCAGGAUAAGAUGAGUAAAACAGUUGUUUGGAUCUUAUCCUGAUGAUGAGUAAAACAGUUGUUCAUGUAUCGUGAUUAUACAUAUAGUUGCACAAACUCAUGACUACUCGCAUUGCUUUCUUGAGAGAAAGAUAGUUUACGCAGUAAUAUAUUUUGGCUAUUUGUAGUUUGGCAGCAUCGUGAUGUUAUUGAUUGGGUUUCAGUUUCAAUUACAAGUUUGUUCGAUAAACGACUGUUGACUCAAUUUUAAAAUUUUCUACAUAUUUCGUAUAACUUUAAUAUGAUUUUACAGUUUACCGAUUGAACCAUUAAUGAACAUGAAUAAUUCCAGUGAUUCUGAUGUGUCUCUGGAACAAAAUGAAAUUAGUCAGACUGAGCUGAACGGAAAUUUGCCGGAAAAUUCUGCUUUGUUCAAGACUAGUGAACUGAGCUCCACAUUAUCCAAGUAUAAUUUAAAUGAAGAUGCAUAUUCUGAUGAUGAAUCUUAUGGUGCUCCUGUUGAAAUUUUAGCUGAGUUUUUGUCAACGCUUAUGUCUCGUGACUAUAAAAGUCUUAUAUUAUUGCAAGCUAAUUUUGCAGUAUGAACCAGAUAAUAAAACCGUACAAGAUUUCUAUCCACUGAUACUGAAAAGAAUCAAUUUUGUUGAUAAUUCUGAAUCUGAGGAAGGAAGCUGUUACACAUCCAAAUCAGAAAACUCAACAGAAUAUUUUUCUAGUACUUCUUUUGGUACUGAGAAUAUGUCUGCAUGUUCUUCUUUUAUGAGGAAGAGGAACUGUCUCUUGACCAUUCACAAUAAAACAAACUGUGUCAUUUACCUUCAGCUGUUCUAAGCUUGUUAAAGUAGCACUUUGUGAUAUAGCAGUACAAAAUUACUUUCUCUUGCUUUUUAUAUAGGUUAUUUGAAUGCCUGUGAUAUUUUUUAGAAAAUGUGCAGAUUUAUUGUUUAUUUUUAAAAUAAAAUAUUCCUUAUUUCUGAUGAACUAUUUUUAUAGCAUUGUUAUAUGUAAUAUUUUAUACCUGUUUAUUUAAAAUGAAGUUGUCAGUUUGUUUUAUUGUGUUCAAAAUAUUUGUUAUAACUUUUAUCUUGACCCUAUUUUUCAAUUUUAUUUUCCUUGUAACAAAAGUAGUUUUUUUGCCACGUUAUAUAAAGUUAAUGUGUAAUGAGUUAAAGAGUAAAGCAAGUUAUUUAAAAACUAGUUUUCCUUUUUGUGGAAGUUUUAAGUGUAAAAUAAUUUCCUUCAGAUCUUGAACACAAAGGCAACUGUUCAUUUUUAUGUAAGUAUUAAUUAUUUGCUGAAUCAAAAAUUAAACAUUUCUAUAAAUAAAGAGUUAUAUAUUUUUGUUAUUAUCUGAACAUAUAAUUUCAUGUUAAAUUUUUAAAUUGUUAUUUCUUCACUUAUGGAUGCAAGUUAGAGUAACUUUCUAUGUGUGCUAAAAUGUUUCAACUCUCACCUUAGUUAUGACUCUAAACUGUAUUUAUAUACUAAUGUGUUCUUUAAAAUUAUAAAUAGUAAAUAAAUAGAUUUAAACUACUUCCUUGAGCUUCUCUUUAAAAGCAUCAUGAAAUUUCCGUAAAAAAUUAAAUGACGUUGUAUACAAUAAAAUCCCAUUUUAUCAAACUUCAGUUAAUUGACAUCUGAUUUAAACUGAAUGCUGUAGUAAACUAGGCACAACUUGUAAAGCUGAAAAGAAAACUAGGCACAACUUGUAAAGCUUUUUUUCCCCCUUUCUUUUUCCCCAUUUUAUUUUAUUCAAAAGUAAAUGCAAUAUCCACUGCUUGUUGAAAUCUCUUCCAUUUUAAACAUAUUUGAGUUAAGCAGCUGAGUAAUAGACAGUGAUUUGUAUAUUGAAAAUUCUGAUAUUUACCAAAUAAGAUAGCAUCUAAUGAUAAAUCUAGUAAUUAAUACCUAUAAUAAUGAAAAAUUAAUGCUACAAUUCAACUAUUAAUGAAGUUUUUAAAUUUAUUUUUAAUUAUUUUUUAUAAUUAAAUACUUGAUGAAAUUUUAAACUUUUAUAAAGAACUGAUCUGUCCAUAUAUAUAUUUUUCAUAUUGUUCAUCAACAGUUCUUCAGAUGUGCACUCUCAAGUUCAUAAAAUUGCUGAUAGGUUCUCUGAUCACCAUCUUUCAAAUCAAGAGUUUGUACAUUUUUUUAAAUUUCUUGAGGUUGGCCUGUCAUCACUUUCUGAAGCUCAUUUAGCACUUUCUAAAAUAAUGUAGUCAACUUUUCAUGUACUAUGUCAGUAUUAGCACCUGUUGCAACAUAUUCUAAAAAUGUUAUCUUCAUACUUUCUCCACUGAUUUUUGAACCAUAAGCUAUAGCUCUCUGAGUAAAUACCAUCAUUGUUUCUUCUGAAUGUUUAUUUUUUUGAAAGCAACCACAUUUGAAACCACAUUUUUGAAAGCAACUUUUAACUGCAUUUUAAGACUUUUCCCUAUGCACUGACUGUAAUAUAUAUAGCCUCUAUAUAUCCUUCUCUGCUUCAUUAGUCACUAAGUUAUGCUGUAAUUACUUUCAUUUAACAUAACACACAAGUUUAUUUAGAGAAUUUAUAAAUGAGUGUGACAUAUGCUUUUAUAAUUUUAAACUGAGUGAUAAAUAUUUUUUGUUAUUUUGAUAUAAAUGUAUGAAAUACCAAGUUUCCUCUUUAUUUCCUGAAGUAAUUACUUCUAUGGAAAUUGUUUAAGCAGUUGAUAUUUGUACUUUUGAUAUAACAUAAUAUCAUUCAAAAUGCUGAUAAUAAAUCUGUAAAUAAAGAAAUUAAAUCUGUUGUGAUUUACAUUUUAUAUAAAUUGGCAGUUCUGCAUUUUCGUUUUUACCUCAGAAAUUGCUUUUAGCCUUAUACAUUUUUUUAAAAUCUUUAGAUGGAUAUUUCGUAUAUGUAUUCUUAUCAUUUGCUUCCCAAUAAUGAAUCAUACAAGUUUUUUAGACUUCUUAAUUAUUUCAUUGCAGGUAGAAUACUUUAUGCUUGGCUAGGGAAAUUAUUCUGUUUAAUCAGAAAAAAUCAGGAAAAUUUAUGAAUUUUACCAUCCCUUGAGUAUAGUGAAACCCCUUACUUGAAUAUUCUGGCUGGAGUAGUUUUAUGCCAUUGCACAUGCAUACAGUUUCAUUACUUCCUUUUAAAGAAUUAGUUCAGCACAACAGAAUUUUGGUAUUCAGUACAUUUAAAAUCUGUAAACAAUCAGUAAUUGAUAUUUAAAAUGAGAUACAGUAAAAGCUAAGAAAAACAGAGCAGCACCGAUACCUCUCAGUUUAUAUAUUGCCUUGUAUAUUUAUUUUAAUGACAGCUUCCAGACCCAGGCCUAAUGUCAUCUAAAAAUUGAAGUAUGUUUUGGAGCAGUUGUAUAUAAUAUACGUAUGUGAAUCAAUUACUCAUUGAGUUGUGGAUAUUAAGUUCUAACUAUUGUUUUGUCAUUGUCUGAUAUCAAUAAUAUCUGUUUAGUCAGAUAAGUCAUUUGCCUAAAAGAUGUAACAUUCAUGUAUUAUUCUCAUUUAGUAUAAAAUUUAUGAUUUUGCUGUUUUCAAUAUUUGUCUUGCAACAAAUGUUUUUAGAAACCAUUCAUUGAGCCUUGGAUAACUUCCCUGCUUCAUUCUGUGUGUAACACAAAUCAUCUUAGGCACUAGAGUUAUUUUUCAUAUUAUAUGCUGUUCAGUUUUUUCCUUUCCAGAAAAAGUUCUGUUCUACAGUCAAAAUAAAACUGGUUAAAAUUUAUAAAUUUUAUGCAAUAUAGUUUUUGGUUUUAGAUUUUAUGUGACUAGAAUGAAUGUUAUAUACCUUAUAUUUUCAAUUUGUAAUUUAAUCACUUUGUCACUUCAAGCUCAAUUUAUGUCAAAUUAUUUAUCAAGUGCCAAUAAAUAAAUGUAUGAAGUGAU
rnacentral:lncRNA from 1 species